rnacentral:misc_RNA from 1 species
CUCUCACUUCUAUAAUUGCUUGAACCUUCAAGUAGAGUUGAAGCUGGAUAGUAGCAUUGCAUGGUUUUCGACUUACCAGAGUUUUGCCUUCUGGAAAGCCAGCCCCUCUGUAGUCUUGUAUGUUGAUAUCAAGACAUUUUUUUUCACAUUAUUAUAAAUAGUCCAUUGGUCCUAUGAUGUUUCUUUGUACUCCACAGCCAAAACUCAAAACACUGUUCACAUUUUGAGGUUAAUUCUAUUACUAUUAUUUUCGUUGAAAAAAAAUGUCUUGAUAUCAACAUAC